GAGCAGAGUCUGCCAAUGCCCGUGUCUGCAGUGACCACUUCGUCGGAGGCCUUCAUUUGCUGUUUGGUGUAAUACGACGUCUGAAGGACCAGAUAGUUCGUUAUGUCGACGGCCUCCACUGUCGGCAAAUCUUUAAGGCUCUAACUCCAUACAAUACGGGCUCUCGGUAACGGUAUCCUCCAUGUUUACACUAACUUCAUAGACUUCCUGCCCUCCAUCUGAAAUCGCGCCCCCUGGCCGCGUCAUAAUCGUCACGUGACUGAAACCCG